rnacentral:misc_RNA from 1 species
AAGUCGUAACAAGGUUUCCGUAGGUGAACCUGCGGAAGGAUCAUUACUGAAGCAGUUAGGGUUGCAGCUGACUCUGUCAAAGGAGUACUGUGCUCGCUCUAUUCUUCUACUUUUCCCCCUGUGCACCUUUUGUAGGCUAUGAUACCCAUCGUGUGUGUGACGCCUUGUCUCAUUACCGGUUCAAGGGUUUUUUUGCAGUUAACCGUUUGUUCGGUUUUCUGCUGCUCUUGCCCUUCAUAUGCCUAUGUCCUUAUACACUCUUUAAAACAAGUCUAGAAUGUCUUUUUGUGGGUCUGUCGACCUAUAAACUUAAUACAACUUUCAACAACGGAUCUCUUGGCUCUC